rnacentral:rRNA from 1 species
AUGGCGAGAUCGACAACACCGGGAGCCAGGCGUAUGGCGUGGUCACCACCCAACUACGGCCUCCGGUCAAGGGAGGAGCUGAUGGACGCCUUACCACGGCGCGAGUACAGGCGCCAGGAUGCGCCACAGGCACGGCCGGCACCAAGGCCGCUACUUGCGCUGGGAGCUCAAGUGCCACGCCAACCUCCCCCAGGUGCACCGGUGGCGGCUGACGAUAGACGCGGUCUUGACGCCGCGAAUGCUCCGGAGCGCGGGCGAGCGGCCGACGAUCGAGUGGCCGUGCUACACAACUAUCGACGCGCGCGAGGCCUCUGCUUCAAGUGCGGCGAACGCAGAGGGCAAGGGCAUCAGUGUGCUGCCACGGUGCAACUGCACAUCGUCGAGGAACUGCUCGAGCUUCUCCAGGCGGAUGAUCAAGCCCCACAUCAACCCAUGGAAGACCAAGCUGAUGAGUAUCUAAUGUCAAUUUCCAAGCUGGCAACCACUGGACAGACGAUACCGCAUACAGUACGCUUGCUGGGGGCGAUUGCGGGCAAAGAAAUGUUGGUCUUAGUGGACUCAGGAAGUUCACAUAGCUUCGUGAGCGAGGGAAUAGCCGCUGAUCUACAAGAGCAAGUGCAAGCAAUAGUCGCCACCUCUGUCAAGAUUGCUGAUGGUGGAGUACUACAAUGCAAGGGCAUGAUUCCAGCAUGCUCAUGGACAACCCAGGGGCACACGUUUCAGACUGAUCUGAGGGUUCUAUCAUUGGGUUGUUAA